rnacentral:rRNA from 1 species
CCUACGGGAGGCAGCAGUGAGGAAUAUUGGUCAAUGGGCGAGAGCCUGAACCAGCCAAGUCGCGUGAGGGAGUACUGCCCUAUGGGUUGUAAACCUCUUUUGUCGGGGAGCAAAAGCCGGACGUGUCCGGCUGUGAGAGUACCCGAAGAAAAAGCAUCGGCUAAUUCCGUGCCAGCAGCCGCGGUAAUACGGAGGAUGCGAGCGUUAUCCGGAUUUAUUGGGUUUAAAGGGUGCGCAGGCGGAUUUUUAAGUCAGCGGUAAAAUCGUGGGGCUCAACCCCAUCCAGCCGUUGAAACUGGGGAUCUAGAGUGUGCGAGAGGUAUGCGGAAUGCGUGGUGUAGCGGUGAAAUGCAUAGAUAUCACGCAGAACCCCGAUUGCGAAGGCAGCAUACCGGUGCACAACUGACGCUCAGGCACGAAAGCGUGGGUAUCGAACAGGAUUAGAUACCCCAGUAGUC